rnacentral:rRNA from 1 species
GGGUGCUUNCANUUCAGUAGCGCAGCUAACUCUUUNAANCAUUCCUCCUGGGGAGUACGGUCGCAAGAUUUAUACUCAAAAGGAAUUGACGGGGGNCCGCACAAGCGGUGGAGCAUGUGNUUUNAUUCGAAGCAACGCGCAGAACCUUACCAUCCUUUGACAUGGCGUGUUAUGGGGAGAGAUCCUCAGUCCUCUUCGGAGGCGCGCACACAGGUGCUGCANGGCUGUCGUCAGCUCGUGUCGUGAGAUGUUGGGUUAAGUCCCGCAACGAGCGCAACCCACGUCCUUAGUUGCCAUCAUUCAGUUGGGCACUCUAGGGAGACUGCCGGUGAUAAGCCGCGAGGAAGGUGUGGAUGACGUCAAGUCCUCAUGGCCCUUACGGGAUGGGCUACACACGUGCUACAAUGGCGGUGACAGUGGGAUGCGAAGGGGCGACCUGGAGCAAAUCCCCAAAAACCGUCUCAGUUCAGAUUGCACUCUGCAACUCGAGUGCAUGAAGGCGGAAUCGCUAGUAAUCGUGGAUCAGCAUGCCACGGUGAAUACGUUCCCGGGCCUUGUACACACCGCCCGUCACAANCAUGGGAGUUGGUCUUACCCGACGGCGCUCGCCAACCUCAAGGAGUCUGUUAU